rnacentral:rRNA from 1 species
UGGGGGAUAUUGCACAAUGGGCGAAAGCCUGAUGCAGCGACGCCGCGUGGGGGAUGAAGGCCUUCGGGUUGUAAACUUCUUUUGCUCUGAACAAGGCGCACCAUGGGGUGUGUUGAGUGUAGGGGUUGAUUAGCGCCGGCUAACUACGUGCCAGCAGCCGCGGUAAUACGUAGGGCGCGAGCGUUGUCCGGAAUUAUUGGGCGUAAAGGGCUGGUAGGUGGCUGGUUGCGUCUGUCGUGAAAGCUCAUGGCUUAACUGUGGGUUUGCGGUGUUACGGGCUGGCUUGAGUGCAGUAGGGGGGGCUGGAAUUCCUGGUGUAGCGGUGGAAUGCGCAGAUAUCAGGAGGAAUACCGGUGUCGAAGGCGGGUCUCUGGGCUGUUACUGACACUGAGGAGCGAAAGCAUGGGGAGCGAACAGG